rnacentral:rRNA from 1 species
ACUCAAAUGAAUUGACGGGGGCCCGCACAAGCAGUGGAGCAUGUGGUUUAAUUCGACGGUAAGCGAAGAACCUUACCGAGGCUUGACAUCUUGGGAAAGCACUGGAAACAGAGCUGUGCCUUCGGGAACCCAAAGACAGGUGUUGCAUGGCCGUCGUCAGCUCGUGCCGUGAGGUGUUCGGUUAAGUCCGGUAACGAGCGCAGCCCUUAUCGCUUGUUGAAUUUUUCAAGCGAGACUGCCCUGGAAACAGGGAGGAAGGUGGGGAUGAAGUCAGGUCAGCAUGGCCCUUAUGCCUCGGGCUACACACGUGCUACAAUGGCCGGUACAACGGGUUGCUAAGUCGUGAGGCGGAGCUAAUCCCAUCAAAACCGGUCUCAGUUCGGAUUGAAGGCUGCAACUCGCCUUCAUGAAGCUGGAAUUGCUAGUAACCGUGGGUCAGCAUACCACGGUGAAUACGUUCUCGGGCCUUGUACACACCGCCCGU